GAUGAACGCUAGCGGCAGGCUUAAUACAUGCAAGUCGAGGGGCAGCACGGGUAGCAAUAUCUGGUGGCGACCGGCGCACGGGUGCGUAACACGUAUGUAACCUACCUUAAACUGGGGAAUAGCCCCUUGAAAAAGGGAUUAAUACCCCAUAACACUGCGAGAAGGUAUCUUUUUGCAGUUAAAGUUCCGACGGUUUAAGAUGGACAUGCGCGACAUUAGCUAGUUGGUGAGGUAACGGCUCACCAAGGCUGGGAUGUCUAGGGGUUCUGAGAGGAAAAUCCCCCACACUGGUACUGAGACACGGACCAGACUCCUACGGGAGGCAGCAGUAAGGAGUAUUGGUCAAUGGGCGCAAGCCUGAACCAGCCAUGCCGCGUGCAGGAUGACGGCCCUACGGGUUGUAAACUGCUUUGUACGGGAAAAAACCCCUUUACGUGUAAAGGGCUGAUGGUACCGUAAGAAUAAGGAUCGGCUAACUCCGUGCCAGCCGCCGCCGUAACAC
rnacentral:rRNA from 1 species